rnacentral:sRNA from 1 species
AUGUAAUAAGAAGUGGUGCAUUAUUCUAGUUACAUUCAUUGAUUGUGAAGACGAGCCUAAAAAUUCGUUAAAGAGCACAUCUAUGAAGCAUCUGGUGCUUGCUUAGUACGCCCAGUAUUGGGUGAGUGCUGGAUGGUAAGAGUCUAUGGGCGCUUAUAAUGGCAUAUGAGGAACGACCCAUUUUCUCGCGGAGACCUAAUCUUGUGAGGCAAAAGUUUUACGACUUAGGAUUGAACCUACCAUGUGGGCAAAUCUACGGGUAGUGUAGCUUGACUUGAGUGAUUAUUGGGAAUAGAGACAACUUACUGAAAGGUGUACAUCUAUUUGGUGAGUAUCGCUACUUGAAACAAUGGUUGCAAAAGAGUCUAGUAGUCAAUAUGAAUGUUGGAGGAAAACUCCUAGAGUGUACUAUUAAUGUAGGAUUGCAGUGUAUACUAAGUGGUAAUCAAGUCAUAGAAUUGGUAACAAUCUAUUGCUUUCUUUUAUGGGGAACCGCUUACUGGUAACGGUAAGUAGAAGGUAGGGAAAUCCAACUUGACCUAAGGUACAAGGUUUACUAUGUUAAUGACCAUUUCUUAUUUUUU